GGGGGCAUAGCUCAGUGGUAGAGCGCAUGCUUGGUGUGCACAAGGUUCCCGGUUCAAUUCCCAGUGCCCCCU
rnacentral:tRNA from 1 species